rnacentral:rRNA from 1 species
CUACGGGAGGCUGCAGUGGGGAAUAUUGCACAAUGGGCGCAAGCCUGAUGCAGCCAUGCCGCGUGUAUGAAGAAGGCCUUCGGGUUGUAAAGUACUUUCAGCGGGGAGGAAGGGAGUAAAGUUAAUACCUUUGCUCAUUGACGUUACCCGCAGAAGAAGCACCGGCUAAAUCCGUGCCAGCAGCCGCGGUAAUACGGAGGGUGCAAGCGUUAAUCGGAAUUACUGGGCGUAAAGCGCACGCAGGCGGUUUGUUAAGUCAGAUGUGAAAUCCCCGGGCUCACCCUGGGAACUGCAUCUGAUACUGGCAAGCUUGAGUCUCGUAGAGGGGGGUAGAAUUCCAGGUGUAGCGGUGAAAUGCGUAGAGAUCUGGAGGAAUACCGGUGGCGAAGGCGGCCCCCUGGACGAAGACUGACGCUCAGGUGCGAAAGCGUGGGGAGCAAACAGGAUUAGAUACCCGAGUAGUC